GGGCCCGUAGCCCAGUCUGGAUAGGGCGGCAGACAAUAAAGCUGUAGGUCGUGGGUUCGAAUCCCACCGGGCCCG
rnacentral:tRNA from 1 species